rnacentral:misc_RNA from 1 species
UCCCGUCAAUUCAUUUGAGUUUCAGUCUUGCGACCGUACUACCCAGGCGGCAGACUUAACGGCUUCCCUGCGGCACUGGACCAGCAUAAAGCUAGUCCAUCACCGAGUCUGCAUCGUUUACAGCUGGGACUACCCGGGUAUCUAAUCCGGUUUGCUCCCCCAGCUUUCAUCCCUCACCGUCGAGCGCAUUCUGGCAAGCCGCCUUCGCCACUGGUGGUCUUCAAUGGAUCAACGGAUUUUACCCCUACCCACUGAGUACCGCUUGCCUCUCCUGCCUCCUAGUCUUAUAGUAUCCUCCGCGGCCCAUCUGUUAAGCAGCUGGAUUUAACGGAGGACUUGUAAGGCCGGCUACGGAUGCUUUAGGCCCAAUAAUCGUCCCGACCACUCGGGGUGCUGGUAU